UACGUAGGGUGCGAGCGUUGUCCGGAAUUAUUGGGCGUAAAGGGCUCGUAGGCGGCCAACUAAGUCAUACGUGAAAUCCCUCGGCUUAACCGGGGAACUGCGUCUGAUACUGGAUGGCUUGAGUUCGGGAGAGGGAUGCAGAAUUCCAGGUGUAGCGGUGAAAUGCGUAGAUAUCUGGAGGAAUACCGGUGGCGAAGGCGGCAUCCUGGACCGACAUUGACGCUGAACGGCGAAAGCUAGGGGAGCAAACGGG
rnacentral:rRNA from 1 species